GACGAACGCUGGCGGCGUGCCAAUACAUGCAAGUAGAACGCUGACUACUUUAGCUUGCUAGAGUAGAAGGAGUUGCGAACGGGUGAGUAACGCGUAGGUAACCUGCCUACUAGCGGGGGAUAACUAUUGGAAACGAUAGCUAAUACCGCAUAACAGUGUUUAACACAUGUUAGAUGCUUGAAAGAUGCAAUUGCAUCACUAGUAGAUGGACCUGCGUUGUAUUAGCUAGUUGGUGGGGUAACGGCCCACCAAGGCGACGAUACAUAGCCGACCUGAGAGGGUGAUCGGCCACACUGGGACUGAGACACGGCCCAG
rnacentral:rRNA from 1 species